AGAACGAACGCUGGCGGCAUGCCUAACACAUGCAGGUCGAACGAAGCCUUCGGGCUUAGUGGCGCACGGGUGCGUAACACGUGGGAAUCUGCCCUUAGGUACGGAAUAACUCAGGGAAACUUGAGCUAAUACCGUAUGAUGUCUUCGGACCAAAGAUUUAUCGCCUAAGGAUGAGCCCGCGUCGGAUUAGCUAGUUGGUGGGUAAAGGCCUACCAAGGCGACGAUCCGUAGCUGGUCUGAGAGGAUGAUCAGCCACACUGGGACUGAGACACGGCCCAGACUCCUACGGGAGGCAGCAGUGGGGAAUAUUGGACAAUGGGCGAAAGCCUGAUCCAGCAAUGCCGCGUGAGUGAAGAAGGCCUUCGGGUUGUAAAGCUCUUUGUCAGGGAAGAAACGGUGGGAGCUAA
rnacentral:rRNA from 1 species